GCGGGGUGUGGUGGCGUGCACCUAUGGCCUCAGCUACCCAGGAGGCUGGUGCGGGAGGAAAGCUUGAGCCCAGGAACUCUGGGCUGUGCAGAUUUGGUGUCCCCACUAAAUUUGGCAUCAAUAUGGUGACCUCCUAGGAGUGGAGGAACAUCAGGUUGCCUAAGGAGGGUGAACAGGACCAAGUUGGAAAUGAAGCAGCACAAAACUCUGUGCUGAUCAGAGUGGGAUCGUGCCUGUGAGUACCCACUGCACCACAGCCGGGGCAGCAUAGAGCAUAGCAAGACCUGUUUC
rnacentral:SRP_RNA from 10 species